rnacentral:rRNA from 1 species
AACAGGAUUAGAUACCCCGGUAGUCCACGCCCUAAACGAUGAUCAUUAGCUGAUGGGGAACUCAUCGGCGCAGCUAACGCAUUAAAUGAUCCGCCUGAGUAGUACGUUCGCAAGAAUAAAACUUAAAGGAAUUGACGGGGAUCCGCACAAGCGGUGGAGCAUGUGGUUUAAUUUGAAGAUACGCGUAGAACCUUACCCACUCUUGACAUCUUCUGCAAAGCUAUGGAGACAUAGUGGAGGUUAACAGAAUGACAGAUGGUGCAUGGUUGUCGUCAGCUCGUGUCGUGAGAUGUUUGGUUAAGUCCUGCAACGAGCGCAACCCUUAUCCUUAGUUACUACCAUUUAGUUGAGGACUCUAAGGAGACUGCCCGAGUAAUCGGGAGGAAGGUGGGGAUGACGUCAAAUCAUCAUGCCUCUUACGAGUGGGGCAACACACGUGCUACAAUGGCCGGUACAAAGAGAAGCGAAGUGGUGACAUGGAGCAAACCUCAAAAAACCGGUCUCAGUUCGGAUUGUAGUCUGCAACUCGACUACAUGAAGUCGGAAUCGCUAGUAAUCGUAGAUCAGCUACGCUACGGUGAAUACGUUCUCGGGUCUUGUACACACCGCCCGUCAAACCAUGGGAGCUGGUAAUGCCCGAAGUCGGUUUAUAAACAAACUGCCUAAGGCAGGACUGGUGACUGGGGUUAAGUCGUAACAAGGUAUCCCUACGAGAACGUGGGGAUGGAUCACC